AGGUUUGAGCGAUUCUGUUGCCCUUCCUUUCUCGAACCUUGAGAGAGAGAGAGAUGCUAGCUAGCUAGGCUGGUUUCGAACAUUACAAGGAGGGAAAGUAUGCCUUCACUUUAUAGCUUAUACUGAUACUGAUGAUAAGCGCUAGCUAAUUAAUUGGUCCCUUCAUUUGCUACCAUCCCUUGCGUACGAUCGGGAGAAAGGAGAGACCAUGAGGACGAAGCCUGUGUGCCAUGAGAUCGAAUUUAGAUGCCAUUGGUCUUAGACAAAGGACAUGUGCUGCAUAGUGACAGAAAUCGUCCUUCAUUACGUAAGGGAUCGAGUAAUAGCAUCAUGUUUGAGAGCGCGAGUAUUUUUUUAAAAUUUAAAUUUCUUUUUAUUUUUUAAAGAUUAUUUUGAUAUUAAAAAUAAUUUUUUAAAAAUAAAAAAAUAAUUUUAAUAUAUUUUUAAAUAAAAACACUUUAAAAUACAAUUACUACCACAUUCUCGAAUAUCUUAUUAUAUAAAAUAUUAUAGGGUAAUAACAGUGUAAAUUAUUGUAUAAAUAUUUUAUAAAAUUUCAUGAAUUAAAAAUAUUUUUUUAAUAAAUCAAUUGAGUUUAAAAAUUGACAUUGAUUAAUUACCAUGCAAAGUAUUUUAUGAAAAAAUAAAUAAACAAAUUCAAAAUAUAUUUUUUUAUAAAAUAUUUUACACAAGAUAAAGGGUGUGUUUGGGAUUGUAAUAGCUGUUCAAAGUACUAUCUAUAAAAUAUUUUAUAAAAUUUCAUGAAUUAAAAAUAAUUUUUCAAUACAUCAAUUGAGUUAAAAAUUGAUAUUGACUAAUUAUCAUGCAAAUUAUUUUAUGAAAAAAUAAAUAAAACAAAUUCAAAAAUAUUUUUUAUAAAAUAUUUUACACAAGAUAUUUGGGUGUGUUUGAGAUUGUAGUAGCGGUUGCGGUUCAAAGUAUUUUUUACUUAAAAAUGCAUCAAAAUAAUUUUUUAUAUCAGCACAUUAAAAUGAUUUAAAAACAUAAAAAAAAAAUUAACAA